rnacentral:rRNA from 1 species
GUCCACGCCCUAAACGAUGUAUACUAGACUAUGGCUUUAUCGACAAAGUCAGGGUCGUAGCUAACGCGAUAAGUAUACCGCCUGGGGAGUACGAACGCAAGUUUAAAACUCAAAGGAAUUGACGGGGACCCGCACAAGCAGCGGAGCAUGUGGUUUAAUUCGACGCUACGCGAAAAACCUUACCUAGGCUUGACAUAGGAUGCAUAGCCGUGAAAGCGGUGAAGUUAUAGCAAUAUAACAUCCAUACAGAUGGUGCAUGGUUGUCGU